ACGAACGCUGGCGGCGUGCCUAAUACAUGCAAGUCGAACGGUCUUUUCUAUGGAAGCUUGCUUCCACUGAGAAGAUAGUGGCGAACGGGUGAGUAACACGUGGGUAACCUGCCAUAAGAGGGGGAUAACAUCCGGAAACGGGUGCUAAUACCGCAUAGUUUUCUUGAUCGCAUGAUUGAGAAAGGAAAGACGGCCUUUGUGCUGUCGCUUAUGGAUGGACCCGCGGCGUAUUAGUUAGUUGGUGAGGUAACGGCUCACCAAGACGAUGAUACGUAGCCGACCUGAGAGGGUGAUCGGCCACAUUGGGACUGAGACACGGCCCAAACUCCUACGGGAGGCAGCAGUAGGGAAUCUUCCGCAAUGGACGAAAGUCUGACGGAGCAACGCCGCGUGAGUGAAGAAAGGUUUUCGGGUCGUAAAACUCUGUUGCCAGAGAAGAACAAGUUGGAGAGUAACUGCUCCAGCCUUGACGGUAUCUGACCAGAAAGCCACGGCUAACUACGUGCCAGCCGCAGC
rnacentral:rRNA from 1 species